CCUACGGGUGGCAGCAGUAGGGAAUAUUGCUCAAUGGGGGAAACCCUGAACCAGCAACGCCGCGUGGAGGAUGAAGGUUUUAGGAUUGUUAACUCCUUUUGUGAGAGAAGAUAAUGACGGUAUCUCACGAAUAAGCACUGGCUAACUCCGUGCCAGCAGCCGCGGUACUACGGCGGGUGCAAGCGUUAUUCGGAAUCACUGGGCGUAAAGCGGGCGCAGGCGGGUUUUUAAGUCAGAUGUGAAAUCCUGUAGCUUAACUACAGAACUGCAGUUGAAACUAGGAGUCUAGAGUGUGGGAGAGGUAGGUGGAAUUCGUGGUGUAGGGGUGAAAUGCUUAGAUAUCAAGAGGAAUACUCAUUGCGAAGGCAGCCUACUGGAACAUUACUGACGCUCAUGCACGAAAGCGUGGGGAUCAAACAGGAUUAGAUACCCGAGUAGUC
rnacentral:rRNA from 1 species